GCUCCUCAAUGUCAUCCUCAUCCACACCCAGGUUAAGUUGUUUGCCAUCUCAACCACAGCCUUGUUGAUUUUUGCAACCUCCUCAUCCUCGGCAAAUCCUUUGAAGUCAUGGAUGAACCUCUUGAGUAUCUUCUUCCAGAUGCUAUUCAUACAUUCCUUGGUGACAUCACCCUAAGCCCAAGUGAGGUUCCUGAUGCAGUCAUAGAUGUUAUAAUCUUUCCAGAAUUGCAGCAGUGUCUUCUCAGUUGCAGCAACAGCCUGGGCAAAGAUCCUUCUCAGGUAGUAGGCCUUAAAAGCUGCUAUAACUCCUUGAUCCAUUGGUUGGAGUUGGUGUCUGGAGGGAGAAACACUGCUUUGAUAUUGGGAUGAAGACCACCAAAAAAAGGAGGAGGUCCAGGAGCAUUAUGAACACUAAGCAAAAUUUUGAAAGAUAAGGAAACUGAAGCUAAAAUCAUGACAUGCAGACUAUCCACACCUCGCUCAAGCUCUAAUAAAACAAGAAUUAGGAAGAUUGUACACGCUCUACUACUUCUCUGAAUGAAUGUUUUUCUCCAAUCAACUCUGUAUCUGAACUGCAUGGUGUUACAACAAACCAAAAAAUAAAGACAAUUUCUGAUACUGGUAAGUGCUAUGAAAGAAACCAAACAGUGCCAUGGGAUAGAGAGGGACUGAGGCUGGGUGAGGACCACUUUAGUUAGGACAGCCAGAAAGGACCUUUCUGAGGAGACAGAAAUAGAAUCAAAGCAAGAAUGAUAAAAAGGAGGCAGCAAAGCAAAGAAAGAACAUUCAAGCACAGGAACAGCAAGAGUGGCCAGGUGGAUGAAAGGAAGAGUUUGAAAUAUUUGUGGGACAGUGAGAAAUCCAGACCACAGUGAUUGAGGGGAGGAGCAUUAGGGGUGACUUCAGAGAAGUGAUCAGGGGACCUGUAAGGAGAUUCCAUUUUGUUCUAACCACAAUAAGAUGCCACAGGAGAAGUUCAAACAAAAGAUUAAUAUAAACUGAUAAGCAUAUUUAAAAGUUUAACUCGUGGGUGUGGAGGAGAAUGGCACACACGGACAUGAUGGAGGCAGGGAAAGCACUCAGGAGUGAUCCAGGUGAGAAGGGAAGGGCGGAGGGGCACAGAUGUUAGUUUACAGGACUUGUGGGUGAAUCGUGACUGGAUAGGAGAGGAAGGAAAAAGAAGAAUAGAUGAUUCCGG
rnacentral:lncRNA from 1 species